ncrna:unclassified sequences RT-10 RNA
GAUCCGUAAACGCCACGGCUUUGCGGUCAGACCUAUGCAAAUGUGGUCAGCCAGUUUUGUCCUCCUACGGGAAACACGCUUCAGGAUUCGACAAAACGCAGAGUAGUGAAACAUCGAAAGGCGAGGUCGAU